UCGGAGCUCAUUUGCAUGAGCGCUCCGCUUGGCCGCACCGCCACGUCUUGAUAAAUCUGGACUCUUUCCACGCACUGGGCUGGAAAAGUGCAUCAAGAUGUGGCCUGCACCAGUGCUUCUGCUCGUCCAGUCGGCUCUGCUGAUUCAAGGAUCUUCCGCCCAGGAUUCUCAGAUCCAGACGGACAAAAUCAAGUAUGUCAGUCUUGGUGGGACGGUGACCAUCAGCGCCAAAGGUUCUUCUCUCAGUUGGUACCAAGUGAAACCUGGACAGGUUCCUAAACUUCUGAUCUAUGAUGCAACAAGUCGCUUUACUGGAACACCACCUCGAUUCAGUGGCACACGAUCUGGCUCUGACUACACUCUGACUAUCACUGGUGUUCAGGCAGAAGAUGUCGCUGAUUACUACGGUUUGGCCUUUGUUGGAACUGGAAGGUUCUGCGCCAAGUUCUCCGGCAUCAAGCAGUAA